rnacentral:misc_RNA from 1 species
GAUGAAGAACGCAGCGAAAUGCGAUAAGUAAUGUGAAUUGCAGAAUUCAGUGAAUCAUCGAAUCUUUGAACGCACAUUGCGCCCUCUGGUAUUCCGGGGGGCAUGCCUGUUCGAGCGUCAUUAUAACCACUCAAGCUCUCGCUUGGUAUUGGGGCUCGCGGUUCCGCGGCCCCUAAAAUCAGUGGCGGUGCCUGUCGGCUCUACGCGUAGUAAUACUCCUCGCGAUUGAGUCCGGUAGGUCUACUUGCCAGCAACCCCCAAUUUUUACAGGUUGACCUCGGAUCAGGUAGGGAUACCCGCUGAACUUAAGCAUAUCAAUAGCGGAGGA